CUUGUGGAGAUCAACCUCAACAACAUCAAGAACAUUCCCAUCCCGACUUUAAAGGCGUACGCUCAGGCUCUGAUAGAGAACACGGCGGUGGAGAGGUUGAGUAUCGUUGGAACCAGAAGCAAUGACCCUGUAGCAUUUGCCCUGGCGGAGAUGCUCAAGGUUAACACGACACUGAAGAGCCUGAAUGUUGAGUCGAACUUUAUAACAGGGACUGGAAUCCUCGCCCUCAUUGAGUCACUGCAGUACAACACCACAUUACUGGAGCUCAAGAUUGACAAUCAGGUGCUGAACAGAACUGUGACAUGUACAU